GGGCCCGCACAAGCGGUGGAGCAUGUGGUUUAAUUCGAUGCAACGCGAAGAACCUUACCUACUCUUGACAUCCAGAGAAGCCAGCGGAGACGCAGGUGUGCCUUCGGGAGCUCUGAGACAGGUGCUGCAUGGCUGUCGUCAGCUCGUGUUGUGAAAUGUUGGGUUAAGUCCCGCAACGAGCGCAACCCUUAUCCUUGUUUGCCAGCGAGUAAUGUCGGGAACUCCAGGGAGACUGCCGGUGAUAAACCGGAGGAAGGUGGGGACGACGUCAAGUCAUCAUGGCCCUUACGAGUAGGGCUACACACGUGCUACAAUGGCGUAUACAGAGGGCAGCAAGCUAGCGAUAGUGAGCGAAUCCCAAAAAGUGCGUCGUAGUCCGGAUUGGAGUCUGCAACUCGACUCCAUGAAGUCGGAAUCGCUAGUAAUCG
rnacentral:rRNA from 1 species